AUCUUUUGUAGUUCAUAAUGUGAUGCUUGGAUGUUCCCAUUCAUGUGUGAGAUGUGUCUCACUCAAAUGUUGGCACAUUACCCAUGUGGAA
ensembl:snoRNA